CUCUCCCAGCUAUAUUUGGAGUCACCCCUGCUCACUGAGUGUAAAGAGCUGCAGUACCCCAACUGUACUAAGGUAGCAUAAUAAUUUGUCUUUUAAUUUAAGACUAGAAUGAAAGGUACGACGUAAGACACACUUUUCCAAAAAUACAAAAAAAUUAGUUUUAAGUAAAAACCCUUAAUUACCUUUAAAGGACGAUAAGACCCUAUAAAAUUUAACUUCUUACACUUAAAUUAGUUAUAAAACUACCGAAGUUUUGCUGGGACGGCAAAAAUAUAUAAACUAUUUAAUUUAAAACACCCCUUCUUGAGACCUAAGACCCGUCAAAGACAAAAAAUCUAAUUACUUUAGGGGUAACAGCGUAAUUUUUCUUAGAGCCCUAAUUGAAAGAAGCGAUUACGACCUCGAUGUUGAAUUAGGGAAACGAUAAGGCGCAAAAGUUUUAAACGUGGAUCUGUUCGAUCUUUAAACCCCU
rnacentral:rRNA from 1 species